rnacentral:rRNA from 1 species
UUCCUGUCCAACGUUAAUCGGGGCAGGGUGAGUCGACCCCUAAGGCGAGGCCGAAAGGCGUAGUCGAUGGGAAACAGGUUAAUAUUCCUGUACUUGGUGUUACUGCGAAGGGGGGACGGAGAAGGCUAUGUUGGCCGGGCGACGGUUGUCCCGGUUUAAGCGUGUAGGCUGGUUUUCCAGGCAAAUCCGGAAAAUCAAGGCUGAGGCGUGAUGACGAGGCACUACGGUGCUGAAGCAACAAAUGCCCUGCUUCCAGGAAAAGCCUCUAAGCAUCAGGUAACAUCAAAUCGUACCCCAAACCGACACAGGUGGUCAGGUAGAGAAUACCAAGGCGCUUGAGAGAACUCGGGUGAAGGAACUAGGCAAAAUGGUGCCGUAACU